GUUUGAGGAGCAGAGGACAAACUUGGUGUGAUGAGCAGAAGAAGAAGGAGGGAUGCCUGACACUCAUUUUACUCUCCUCCAUAAUCACUAUAACCACAUCUGUGGUGUGUAGAGAGCUGGACUGUGGAGAACCUGUAGAUGCUCUGAGUCGGUUUGGACCAGGAUCAGGACCAGUCUGGAUGGAUAAUGUGGCCUGUAGUGGGUCGGAGUCUACACUAAAGGACUGUAGAUCAAGAGGAUG